UACGAAGGGGGCUAGCGUUGCUCGGAAUUUACUGGGCGUAAAGCGCACGUAGGCGGAUCGUUAAGUCGGGGGUGAAAUCCUGGAGCUCAACUCCAGAACUGCCUUCGAUACUGGCGAUCUUGAGUCCGGAAGAGGUGAGUGGAAUUCCUAGUGUAGAGGUGGAAUUCGUAGAUAUUAGGAAGAACACCAGUGGCGAAGGCGGUUCUCUGGGCAUUUACCUGACGCUGAGGAGCGAAAGUGUGGGGAGCGAACAGG
rnacentral:rRNA from 1 species